GGACUACAGGGGUAUCUAAUCCCGUUUGCUCCCCUGGCUUUCGCACCUCAGCGUCAGUAAUCCACCAGUGCACCGCUUUCGCCGCCGGAGUUCCUCCCGAUAUCAACGCAUUUCACCGCUCCACCGGGAAUUCCAUGCACCCCUUGGAUCCUCAAGCAACGCAGUACUGGGCGCAGUUCCCCGGUUGGGCCGGGGGAUUUCACACCCAACUUACGUCGCCGCCUACGUGCGCUUUAUGCCCAGUGAUUCCGAACAACGCUCGCCACCUUCGUCUUACCGCGGCGGCUGGCAC
rnacentral:rRNA from 2 species